rnacentral:rRNA from 1 species
UAGGGAAUCUUCGGCAAUGGGGGGAACCCUGACCGAGCAACGCCGCGUGAGUGAAGAAGGUUUUCGGAUCGUAAAGCUCUGUUGUUAAGGAAGAACGAGUGUGAGAAUGGAAAGUUCAUGCUGUGACGGUACUUAACCAGAAAGGGACGGCUAACUACGUGCCAGCAGCCGCGGUAAUACGUAGGUCCCGAGCGUUGUCCGGAUUUAUUGGGCGUAAAGCGAGCGCAGGCGGUCAAUUAAGUCUGAUGUGAAAGCCCCCGGCUCAACCGGGGAGGGUGAUUGGAAACUGGUUGACUUGAGUGCAGAAGAGGAGAGUGGAAUUCCAUGUGUAGCGGUGAAAUGCGUAGAUAUAUGGAGGAACACCAGUGGCGAAGGCGACUCUCUGGUCUGUAACUGACGCUGAGGCUCGAAAGCGUGGGUAGCAAACAGG